UAGGGAAUCUUCGGCAAUGGGGGGAACCCUGACCGAGCAACGCCGCGUGAGUGAAGAAGGUUUUCGGAUCGUAAAGCUCUGUUGUUAAGGAAGAACGAGUGUGAGAAUGGAAAGUUCAUGCUGUGACGGUACUUAACCAGAAAGGGACGGCUAACUACGUGCCAGCAGCCGCGGUAAUACGUAGGUCCCGAGCGUUGUCCGGAUUUAUUGGGCGUAAAGCGAGCGCAGGCGGUUAGAAAAGUCUGAAGUGAAAGGCAGUGGCUCAACCAUUGUAGGCUUUGGAAACUGUUUAACUUGAGUGCAGAAGGGGAGAGUGGAAUUCCAUGUGUAUCGGUGAAAUGCGUAGAUAUAUGGAGGAACACCGGUGGCGAAAGCGGCUCUCUGGUCUGUAACUGACGCUGAGGCUCGAAAGCGUGGGGAGCGAACAGG
rnacentral:rRNA from 1 species